rnacentral:rRNA from 1 species
CCUACGGGUGGCAGCAGUGAGGAAUAUUGGUCAAUGGACGCGAGCCUGAACCAGCCAAGUAGCGUGAAGGAUGACUGCCCUAUGGGUUGUAAACUUCUUUUAUAAAGGAAUAAAACGAGGUACGUGUGCCUCUUUGCAUGUACUUUAUGAAUAAGGAUCGGCUAACUCCGUGCCAGCAGCCGCGGUAAUACGGAGGAUCCGAGCGUUAUCCGGAUUUAUUGGGUUUAAAGGGAGCGUAGAUGGGUUGUUAAGUCAGUUGUGAAAGUUUGCGGCUCAACCGUAAAAUUGCAGUUGAUACUGGCAGUCUUGAGUACAGUUGAGGUAGGCGGAAUUCGUGGUGUAGCGGUGAAAUGCUUAGAUAUCACGAAGAACCCCGAUUGCGAAGGCAGCUUACUAGACUGUGACUGACGCUGAUGCUCGAAAGUGUGGGUAUCAAACAGGAUUAGAUACCCGGGUAGUC